ACAGGAUGGGACAAGCUCUUCACCAGAUAUGGAUAUCGAUCGCGAUGCGAACGUUCUGCUGACUUUGUAACCCGCACCACUUUCUAGUGCUGACGGUAUCUUUUUAAGGUGUUCGAGCCCGCUCCACCCUUGUCACAUGACCCUAUACAAUCCCUCUGAUUUGUUAAACAUUACACCAUUCCAUGAGUUAGUGAUAUUUUAUUUCU